CAUGGCUCAGGAUGAACGCUAGCGGCAGGCCUAACACAUGCAAGUCGAGGGAUAAGCCCUUCGGGGUGGAAACCGGCGCACGGGUGCGUAACGCGUAUGCAACCUACCUUUCACAGGGGGAUAGCCCGAAGAAAUUUGGAUUAAUACCCCAUAAUAUUGUUGGAUGGCAUCAUCUGAUAAUUAAAGUUACGAUGGUGAAAGAUGGGCAUGCGUCCUAUUAGCUAGUUGGAGUGGUAACGGCACCCCAAGGCUACGAUAGGUAGGGGUCCUGAGAGGGAGAUCCCCCACACUGGUACUGAGACAGGGACCAGACUCCUACGG
rnacentral:rRNA from 1 species